rnacentral:rRNA from 1 species
GAGGAGUGGUAGGGGAGCGUUCUCUAUGGGCAGAAGCUGCAUUGUAAAGUGCGGUGGACGGUAGAGAAGUGAUUAUGCUGACAUGAGUAACGAUAAAACAGGUGAAAAACCUGUUCGCCGAAAACCCAAGGUUUCCUGGGUAAAGUUAAUCUUCCCAGGGUGAGUCGGACCCUAAGGCGAGGGCGAAAGCCGUAGCUGAUGGAAAACGGGUUAAUAUUCCCGUACUUCUUAUGGUGUGCGAUGGAGGGACGCAGAAAGAUAGGUGGGCCAACUGUUGGAUGUUGGUGCAAGCUGGUAGGAAUGCCUCGCCGGCAAAUCCGCGAGGUGAAUCCGAGAAGCGAGUCCGUGGGCGCAAGCCCUGAAGCCAUUGAGUCUCCGCUGCCAAGAAAAGCUCCUAAGUUUAGCCAUGAGGAUCCGUACUGCAAACCAACUCAGGUGGGUGGGAUGAAUAAUCCGAGGCGCUCGAGAGAACUCUGGCCAAGGAACUCGGCAAAAUGACCCCGUAACUUCGGAAGAAGGGGUGCUUUUUCAGGUGACCAUUUUUACAUUGGAAGCCAGAGGAAGCCGCAGUGAAUUGGUGGUGGCGACUGUUUACUAAAAACAUAGGUCUGUGCGAAGUCGCAAGACGACGUAUACGGACUGACGCCUGCCCGGUGCCGGAAGGUUAAGAGGAGAGGUCAGCGCAAGCGAAGCCUUGAAUCGAAGCCCCGGUAAACGGCGGCCGUAACUAUAACGGUCCUAAGGUAGCGAAAUUCCUUGUCGGGUAAGUUCCGACCUGCACGAAUGGCGUAACGAUCUCCACACUGUCUCGGCCAGAGACUCGGUGAAAUUGAAGUCGCGGUGAAAAUGCCGUGUACCCGCAGAAAGACGGAAAGACCCUGUGCACCUUUACUAUAGCUUGACAUUGGAUUUUGGGCCUACAUGUGUAGGAUAGGUGGGAGGCAAUGAAAUCUGUACGCCAGUAUGGAUGGAGCCACUGUUGAAAUACCACCCUUGUAUGUCUAAGGUCCUAACUCCACGCAGUGAACCUGCUGGAAGACAUUGUCUGGUGGGUAGUUUGACUGGGGCGGUCGCCUCCUAAAGAGUAACGGAGGCAUGCAAAGGUUCCCUCAGGCUGUUCGGAAACCAGCCGUUGAGUGCAAACGCAUAAGGGAGCUUGACUGCAAGAGAGACAUCU